CGCCACCGGUCUGAGCCCGGCGCGGGGGGAAAGAGAGGCCGGUCCGAGCCGGGGGUAGCAUCAGUCACAGAAGAAGUUCAGAUUCCGCCCUGAGAACAGGCGAACGAACAAAAAAAACCCAACUCGGGUGUCCGGAACCCCAGGCCCCAGAUGGAGAGGGGCCUGAGGCGUGUGGAGGUUACUGACGUUUUGGUUCGGUGCUGCCGGGCGAUUCCGCACCGUUAGGCGCCCGCUCACCACCAUCACGGCGCGGCCAGCACGGGCCCACAACAGAUAGAGAUAUUGCAAUUACAGCAGUGGAUUACAGCUCUGAAGCUUGGAUGACCUUACCAUAUGAUCAUGAGAUUUUCGUGAAGAUGGGCAUGACAUCCCUCCCAGGCUUGGGUCUGCUUUCAUAUGAUCAACCAUACAGAUUCAAGAAUCCCACAAAAACAGCCAAUGCACUUGCACAUUCACCCAUAGUAACUCAUGCAAUUCCCUGUGUCCUGUCUUUUGUGUUUUGGUUUUUUUUCCCCCAGUUAAUCUCUUAAUCACUUCAAUGUUAGUUAUUUACCUACAAUAGUCUAAUAUAUGUUUAAAUUACUGUAUCACAUUAUGUUACCCUCAGAAUGUAAUACUCAUUUUAAAAGGCAGCCUCUUAAAUAGUCCACCAUGUUCCUGCCAUUGUUCUAUCAGAUAUAACUAAAUUUCAAAAACUGUUCCUUCCCAGACUGUUUAGGACACCACAGAAGUGAUCUGUUGGAUUAUUUAGUAAACUGUCUUAAAAAACUAUUAAAAAUCUUUUUUCUAAGUGUAACCAUUAAUAAGCUGAAAUUAAAUGGAAAAAUACAAGGAAUUAUACAUCUCUCUGUAUAUUUGUCUCUAAGUGUAUUAUGGGCCUAACCCAUGGUAGGAACCCUAAUUGAAGUCAAUAAACAUACGUGACAGCAGAACAGUGUAUAAUUUCAGUAGGUUUCUGCACGUUUCAGUAGUAAAAAAAUGGAUUUUUCUACGUUAGAGCUAAACAGGCAGUGAAGUUAGAAGAAGGAGCACUGUAAAAUGUAACUGAAUAUAAAAACUGCAUGGAUAGCAAAAGCCUGAAAACCUACAGUUGCCAUAUAAUUAAUUGGGAUAAUUAUUAUGAGUAAACAAAAAAUGUUAUGAUUUCCAUGGCCAUAUAAGUCAAUUUCUGUCUUUUUCUUGA